UCAAGUGAAUAAGUGCAUGUGGUGGAUGCCUUGGCGAUUACAGGCGAUGAAGGACGUUGUAGCCUGCGAAAAGCCGCGGGGAGCUGGCAAACAAGCUUUGAUCCGCGGAUGUCCGAAUGGGGAAACCCACCCGCAAGGGUAUCGCUGACUGAAUCCAUAGGUCAGCGAGGCGAACGUGGCGAACUGAAACAUCUAAGUAGCCACAGGAAAAGAAAUCAACCGAGAUUCCGAAAGUAGUGGCGAGCGAAAUCGGAGCAGCCUGUGCGUGAUAGUCGAUUGGCUAGUGGAACGGUAUGGAAAGGCCGGCCAUAGAGGGUGAUAGCCCCUUACACGAAAGCGAAUCGGUGGUACUGAGCGUACGACAAGUAGGGCGGGACACGUGUAAUCCUGUCUGAAGAUGGGGGGACCAUCCUCCAAGGCUAAAUACUCGUAAUCGACCGAUAGUGAACAAGUACUGUGAAGGAAAGGCGAAAAGAACCCCGGGAGGGGAGUGAAAUAGAUCCUGAAACCGCAUGCAUACAAACAGUCGGAGCCUCGCAAGGGGUGACGGCGUACCUUUUGUAUAAUGGGUCAGCGACUUACGUUCAGUGGCAAGCUUAACCAGAUAGGGGAGGCGCAGGGAAACCGAGUCCGAAUAGGGCGCCAUAGUCGCUGGGCGUAGACCCGAAACCAGGUGAUCUAUCCAUGGUCAGGAUGAAGGUUGGGUAACACCAGCUGGAGGUCCGAACCGACUAAUGUUGCAAAAUUAGCGGAUGAACUGUGGAUAGGGGUGAAAGGCUAAUCAAACCUGGAAAUAGCUGGUUCUCCCCGAAAACUAUUUAGGUAGUGCGUCAUGUAUUGCUCCAGGGGGUAGAGCACUGUAAUGGUUGUGGGGGCCAUCGCGGCUUACCACGCCAUAGCAAACUCCGAAUACCUGGAAGUAUGAGCAUGGCAGACAGUCGCCGGGUGCUAACGUCCGGCGGCAAGAGGGAAACAACCCAGACCUACAGCUAAGGUCCCAAAGUGUGGCUAAGUGGGAAACGAAGUGGGAAGGCUAAAACAGUCAGGAUGUUGGCUUAGAAGCAGCCAUCAUUUAAAGAAAGCGUAAUAGCUCACUGAUCGAGUCGUCCUGCGCGGAAGAUGUAACGGGGCUAAGCCAUGCACCGAAGCUUAGGCUGCACUCUUUGAGUGCGGGGUAGGGGAGCGUUCUGUAAGCCUGUGAAGGUGUCUCGUAAGGGAUGCUGGAGGUAUCAGAAGUGCGAAUGCUGACAUGAGUAGCGUUAAAGCGGGUGAAAAGCCCGCUCGCCGUAAGCGCAAGGUUUCCUACGCAACGUUCAUCGGCGUAGGGUGAGUCGGCCCCUAAGGUGAGGGCGAAAGCCAUAGCUGAUGGGAAGCUGGUUAAUAUUCCAGCACCGAUUUCUAGUGCGAUGGGGGGACGGAUCGUGGAAGGUUGUCCGGGUGUUGGAAGUCCCGGUUCCUGACCUGUAGGUGUCUGGUAGGUAAAUCCGCCAGGCGUAUGCCGAGGGGUUGGGACGAGCGAGCUUGCUCGCGAAGCAACUGGAAGUGGUUCCAAGAAAAGCCUCUAAGCUUCAGCUAGAAACGACCGUACCGCAAACCAACACUGGUGCGCGAGAUGAGUAUUCUCAGGCGCUUGAGAGAACUCGGGAGAAGGAACUCGGCAAAUUGACACCGUAACUUCGGAAGAAGGUGUGCCCUGGUAGCUUGAGUGUGAACAACACGAGGGCCAAGGGGUUGCAAAAAAUAGGUGGCUGCGACUGUUUAUUAAAAACACAGCACUCUGCAAACACGAAAGUGGACGUAUAGGGUGUGACGCCUGCCCGGUGCCGGAAGGUUAAGUGAUGGGGUGCAAGCUCUUGAUCGAAGCCCCGGUAAACGGCGGCCGUAACUAUAACGGUCCUAAGGUAGCGAAAUUCCUUGUCGGGUAAGUUCCGACCUGCACGAAUGGCGUAACGAUGGCCACACUGUCUCCUCCCGAGACUCAGCGAAGUUG
rnacentral:rRNA from 1 species